rnacentral:rRNA from 1 species
UGGCUCAGGAUGAACGCUAGCUACAGGCUUAACACAUGCAAGUCGAGGGGCAGCAUUGGGAUAGCUUGCUAUUCAGAUGGCGACCGGCGCACGGGUGAGUAACGCGUAUCCAACCUUCCUGCCAGUAGGGAACAGCCCGGCGAAAGUCGGAUUAAUGCCCUAUGUUCUUCAAUGCGGACAUCUAAGUUGAAGGAAAGAUUCAUCGCUGGCAGAUGGGGAUGCGUCCGAUUAGCUUGCCGGCGGGGUAACGGCCCACCGGGGCGACGAUCGGUAGGGGUUCUGAGAGGAAGGUCCCCCACACUGGUACUGAGACACGGACCAGACUCCUACGGGAGGCAGCAGUGAGGAAUAUUGGUCAAUGGGCGUAAGCCUGAACCAGCCAAGUAGCGUGCAAGGAUGACGGCCCUACGGGUUGUAAACUGCUUUUAUGCGGGGAUAAAGUGCGGCACGUGUGCCGCUUUGCAGGUACCGCAUGAAUAAGGACCGGCUAAUUCCGUGCCAGCAGCGGC